rnacentral:rRNA from 1 species
UACGGAGGGUGCAAGCGUUAUCCGGAUUCACUGGGUUUAAAGGGUGCGUAGGCGGGCAGGUAAGUCAGUGGUGAAAUCUCCGGGCUUAACCCGGAAACUGCCGUUGAUACUACAUGUCUUGAAUACCGUGGAGGUGAGCGGAAUAUGUCAUGUAGCGGUGAAAUGCUUAGAUAUGACAUAGAACACCAAUUGCGAAGGCAGCUCACUACACGAAUAUUGACUCUGAGGCACGAAAGCGUGGGGAUCAAACAGG